rnacentral:tRNA from 1 species
GGAGACGUCGCAUAGAGGUCUAGUGCGCUCGCUUGGAAAGCGAGUAGGGGGAAACCCCUCGAGGGUUCGAAUCCCUCCGUCUCCGCCA